AAAGGAGCAAUUCUCCAGUUCAAGCAGUCUGGCUGCAGGUUUUAAUUUCCCUUCCAAAGUGUCCAGGUUGAUCCUCAGGGACUGUGUAAGAGGAGACAGUGUUUCUCAAUGGUCAGGAUCCACAGGCUGCAGCCAGGGUAGCCAAAGCCUCCACAAGUUCCUGUGGACACAGGACACCAUGAGGUUACUGCCUCAGCAGGUUUAAUCUCCCAUACUCUCCAGGAGCAGAAGAGCUGUAGCACUGCUCCAUCACCAUGCCUGGUCCAAAG